rnacentral:rRNA from 1 species
CCUACGGGUGUCAGCAGUGGGGAAUAUUGCACAAUGGGGGAGACCCUGAUGCAGCGACGCCGCGUGAGUGAAGACGUAUUUCGGUACGUAAAGCUAUAUCAGCAGGGAAGAAAAUGAAGGUACCUGACUAAGAAGCCCCGGCUAACUACGUGCCAGCAGCCGCGAUAAUACGUAGGGAGCAAGCGUUAUCCGGAUUUACCGGGUGUAAGGGGAGCGUAGACGGCAGCUCAAGACUGAAGUGAAAUCCCAUGGCUUAACCAUGGAACUGCAUUGGAAACUGUGCAGCUUGAGUGCAGGAGAGGUAGGCGGAAUUCCUGGUGUAGCGGUGAAAUGCGUAGAUAUUAGGAGGAACACCAAUGGCGAAGGCGGCUUACUGGACUGUAACUGACGUUGAGGCUCGAAAGCGUGGGGAGCAAACAGGAUUAGAUACCCGUGUAGUC